AACGAACGCUGGCGGCAGGCCUAACACAUGCAAGUCGAGCGGCAGCGGGUUCCCGCGAGGGGAUGCCGGCGAGCGGCGGACGGGUGAGGAACACAUCGGAAUCUGCCUGGUUGUGGGGGAUAACGUAGGGAAACUUACGCUAAUACCGCAUGAGACCCUGAGUCGACGGACUGGGGGUGAAAGUGAGGGACCUUCGGGCCUCACGCGACCAGAUGAGCCGAUGUCGGAUUAGCUAGUUGGCGGGGUAACGGCCCGCCAAGGCGACGAUCCGUAGCUGGUCUGAGAGGAUGAUCAGCCACACUGGGACUGAGACACGGCCCAGACUCCUACGGGAGGCAGCAGUGGGAAUCUUGGACAAUGGGCGCAAGCCUGAUCC
rnacentral:rRNA from 1 species